CCAAGGCUGAGUGUCUCCUUCGCCUUUUCCAAGCUUCUCUUCCAUUUCUAGUGGCUCAGCCCAAGGGCGAGACAAACUGAUCUGAGUAUGAUUGUCCUCUAGUCCUUUCCUUCCCAUGAGGACUCCUUUGCUCUACCUUCCUCCUAUGUGGACUGCCAUCCACACCCCAUCUCCAGCUCGUUCUUACCCUCUGUCCAGGCUGAGCUCUUCUCACUUCCCUGACACCUCCGCCCUCCAUUCUCAGUGGUCAUGCACACCUCCCAAAACUUCCCCUCAGCCCUCACUUUUCUGUCACUUGGAACCAAAAGAAUUCAGAGUGGUCUCCCCUUGUACCUUCUGUCUGCUGUGUGUUCCAGAUUGGGGCAGAAGAGAGACGUCUUGGCACCUGGGCAACCAGGAGUGGGGGCACCAUGCAUAGUCACAGAGAAGUAUGGAAGAGAUGGUGGGCUUGGACACAGCAGGGUUGAGGUGCUGGCAGGGUGCCCACGUGGAGCUGCUCAGCAGGCUGGCAGGAAGUGUGUGUGCAGGUCUGGAGGGUGCAGAAGCCUCUGACCCAGACACAGGAGGUGGCAGCUGAGUGUGUGGGAGGACAUGAGA
rnacentral:lncRNA from 1 species